UACGUAGGGUGCGAGCGUUGUCCGGAAUUUAUUGGGCGUAAAGGGCUCGUAGGCGGUCUGUUGCGUCAGGAGUGAAAACUCGGGGCUUAACCCCGAGCCUGCUUCUGAUACGGGCAGACUAGAGGUAUGCAGGGGAGAACGGAAUUCCUGGUGUAGCGGUGAAAUGCGCAGAUAUCAGGAGGAACACCGGUGGCGAAGGCGGUUCUCUGGGCAUUACCUGACGCUGAGGAGCGAAAGCGUGGGGAGCGAACAGG
rnacentral:rRNA from 1 species